GGAAGGGAAGGGGUAAGCAGACCAUUUUAUUAAGGGCCUUUGGGGAAGGGUGGGAGGGCUGGGAGGAUCCUGAGAGCGAUGUCCUCGGCCCGGCUGGGACUUCCCCAGCUUCACAGCCGCGAAAAAGUAUGAAUCUUUUGUUAGGAAGCGGCUCUGUCCCUGCGACUGGGACCAGACAUCUCCAAGGAAAGUCUCCUGGUCAGGAAGCCUUCCCCCCACCCCCACCCCUACCCCCAGGAGGGGUGGACUAGAUCUCUCCAGUGAAAGCUGGGGCUUGGAGAGGUGGGCAGUCUCCCCUACCGCAAAAGCCCUCAGGAAUUCCCAUCCGUGGAGGAGUCUGCUGCCCUGGGGACUGAUUUCCACCUUCAGUUCUGCCCACUCCUGCUGCCUCGCCUGUUCCACUUUUUUCCUUAGAGAGCCUCCUGCAGAGGUCAGCGAAUCCAUUUUGGGGUUGUCUAAAAGAAGCACUCGCGGCUCCAAAAAGGAGGGGCCGUAGCCCUUUAAGGAUUUCGCCGGGGAUGGCUUCAGAGAUGAUUUAAAAAUGCCAACUCACAGAGCGCUCUGAAUUCUGGGAAUGGGGGGGUGUCAGCUCGAGAACUACAAGGACCAGAAUGCACUGCGAACACACACGCCUUUACUUCCUGCUGCUCUUUCGGACCCUGGUUUGACGUAGGGGCUCCUUCAAAGCUAGUAGCCUAGCGGAGGGCCGAGCCACGCCUUUUCGCCUAUUGGCCGGCUCUUGAGCUGGUGGGUGUGGCUUAGUGCAACUCCACUUAGGCAAAGGGGUGGUCUCCUUGUCAAUCUGAGCUAAGCCAGCCCGGAGAGGCGGGAUCAGGGCGAAGGGCGGGCGCCCCCGAGUGGGUGUGGCCACGCCGCACACCGGUGGGCGGUGAUUGGCCCAGGGCGGUGCAAUCGCAACUCGUGCGUCACGACGCCGCCAGCUGAUCGGAGACUGGAGCCGGUGUGCGCUGGGCGCUGGGAAGAGAGCGCCGCCGGCCGUGGGGCACGGACGCACUGAUUUGCUCCCCAACCUUCGGCAGCCCCCACACACACCCAGCACCAGGAGCCGGCACCUCCCACACCCUCACCUGGCUGAGCCGCAGUAGUUCUUCAGUGGCAAGCUUUAUGUCCUGACCCCGCUAAAGCUGCCAGUUGAAGAACUGUUGCCCUCUGCCGCUGGCUUCGAGGAGGAGGAGGAGGAGGAGAAGGAGCUGCUUUCCCCCUCUUCUGGAAGGUGACAGAACUGGGGCUGGGAAGGUCUGGACAGCAGGAGUGAUGGUGAUAUGUUUCAGGAAAGGGAACCUUGUUCAGUCGGAGAGCCUUCACCCUGAUUGGCGUCACAAGAGAGAACAAUUUGAGAGACCCUGACUGAAUUAGGGAAUAGUUGUCUCCGGCUGCCUAACGUUAGUCAGUCUUUGUGUGACAGUGGGAGGAAGUGGAGCAAAAGAAACCCUGUCUAUCCCUUUACCCAGAUGUCUUUCUUGGCCCUCCUUCCUUAUCCCUCAUUCUUUCCACUGGUCUUUCCAGGUGAGGUCCAGAAGGUCAUACUAAAACUGCCUUUUCAGUAGCCAUACCCCUGCUCUUACCUUUCCUGUAUCUCCUUAGACUGGCCCAGACUCGAGAUUCAGGGAUGCUGACCUAUAUGUGGCACCCUUAGACAUCCAGUCUCAGCUUCCCCACCUGCCUGAGAUGGAGAGAUCACCCAGUGGAGUGUGCUUGAGGAAACCAGAAGCCCAUCUGUGCAGACUCAGCUUGGGGUGGGAAUAAAACAGCUUUUCCCUUAAGCUAGUGCCCCUCUCCCCGUCCCUGACGGUGACCCCAGAGGUAGGGGGUUGGAGGGCUAAAGGGGCUCCGCCUCCACACUGACUUCUCAUUGUGCAAAGGUGGCCCCAGGGGUCCUCUGCCACCCAUGACAGGACUGCGGCCCCUGACGGCCACCACCGCUCUUCCUCACUUCACUUUCAGGAUGGUGUGUGAAACUCAACUCAGCCCUGUGCAGGCAGGAAAUUCUCCCCUCCAGCAACCAGGAGAGCUGAGUUCUGGGACUCAACCCCUUUGGGGCAUCAGGCAGUAUAAACCUGCCAUCCCCAGUUCCUGAUCCAAUCGCACUCUUUGGCUCAGGCUCUGGUGUGGUUCAGCCUUGGCCUAGAAUCCCUGCCUGAAGGUGGCUGCCUUCAGGGGCUGCAGGAAGCUGUUUGUUCUAUUUUGGGGGGGAAGAGGAGCUGGGUCCUGUUACCCAUUUGUGAGAAACUCAAAAGAUUUAGGGGAGAGUAGACCACUGAACCCAGCUCUUCCACAGCUUAAGCCGGAUGUGUGUGGGACUGUGGUAGAGGGGGUGGGUAGACUGAGUCCACUCCACAAAGAUCUCUCUGUCCCUGGACAUUGCUUCCGUCUUUCCUUCCCCUCCUCGCUCCACUGGCCACAGUGCUUCCUUCCAGCCCUGGGUGUGUGGCUCUGCCAUCCUCACCGAUCAUGGAGCAGAGAUGAGGAGGAGCGUCCUGGGAACACAGGCAGGCGGAAAACCAGUGAAGGACAAAGCCUGCAGUGCACAGGACCUGUCUGGGCACCCUGCAGAGGGGGGCAUAAAGGCCAGGAGCACCCCAGGAAGAGAGAGGACACCCAGCCUCCGGCAAGGACAAGCUUCCCGGCAUCUUCAGUCUUUCCGCCUCCUUCAGAGAUGUGGGACCAUAUUAAAGUGUCCUGUGGCUUCCCCUACCUCCUUCCACCUCUCUCCUACCUUGUAAUUUACAUAUAAGCAGCUUCAAGGAACAAGAGCCAGCUGUGAAAGGAUAUACACAGGAAAUUCAUAAAAUAAAAGCAAAUGAAUAAAACCAUGAAUACAAAUGUGUACUUCAUUAUUAAUUAAAGAGAGGCAAAUA